GGGGAUUUAGCUCAGCGGCAUAAGCGCGUGCCUAGCAAGCAUGAGGUUGUGUGUUCAAUCCCCA
rnacentral:tRNA from 1 species